UGGGGAAUAUUGGACAAUGGGCGCAAGCCUGAUCCAGCCAUGCCGCGUGAGUGAUGAAGGCCUUAGGGUCGUAAAGCUCUUUUGUCCGGGAAGAUAAUGACUGUACCGGAAGAAUAAGCCCCGGCUAACUUCGUGCCAGCAGCCGCGGUAAUACGAAGGGGGCUAGCGUUGCUCGGAAUCACUGGGCGUAAAGCGCACGUAGGCGGACUCUUAAGUCGGUGGUGAAAUCCUGGAGCUCAACUCCAGAACUGCCUUCGAUACUGGGAGUCUUGAGUUCGAGAGAGGUGAGUGGAACUGCGAGUGUAGAGGUGAAAUUCGUAGAUAUUCGCAAGAACACCAGUGGCGAAGGCGGCUCACUGGCUCGAUACUGACGCUGAGGUGCGAAAGCGUGGGGAGCAAACA
rnacentral:rRNA from 1 species